CCUACGGGGGACUGCAGUGGGGAAUAUUGCACAAUGGGGGAAACCCUGAUGCAGCGACGCCGCGUGAGUGAAGAAGUAUUUCGGUAUGUAAACCUCUAUCAGCAGGGAAGAAAAUGACGGUACCUGACUAAGAAGCCCCGGCUAACUACGUGCCAGCAGCCGCGGUAAUACGUAGGGGGCAAGCGUUAUCCGGAUUUACUGGGUGUAAAGGGAGCGUAGGCGGUUGAGCAAGUCAGGAGUGAAAGGCCGGGGCUUAACUCCGGAACUGCUUUUGAAACUGUGCAACUAGAGUGCAGGAGAGGUAAGUGGAAUUCCUAGUGUAGCGGUGAAAUGCGUAGAUAUUAGGAGGAACACCAGUGGCGAAGGCGGCUUACUGGACUGUAAAUGACGUUGAGGCUCGAAAGCGUGGGGAGCAAACAGGAUUAGAUACCCGAGUAGUC
rnacentral:rRNA from 1 species